rnacentral:lncRNA from 1 species
AAGUAACUUAAAAUGAGGGAGAACAGCUCCCAUAAUUUGGAAUAUUAAUGCCAUGUGUAAAUUGGCAAUGAUCAGCCAUCUGUAGAACUUGACAGAAACUUAGCCCUUCCAUUCACCCUUGUGACUGUGACACACACACAAUUUCCUCCAUAGCUUUUCUUUUCCCAAUUAUCUUCCCAUAAAAUUCACCCUUAGAUGGCAAUUCUCUCUAACCAUGCUCCAGAUUUAAAAUGACCUUCUGUUACAAUUCUUUUUAGGCUCCAUCAUUCUUUUCUAACUUCUUCUGAUACUACUUUGAGACAAACUAGCACUCUGGCAUCUCUGCUGCAAAUCCUCAAAUGAACAGAUGUUACUUUCAAACCUCUUAAGGAAGGCAAUUUUCCUGUAGGUGGUCCUUGCUCUUGCUUUUGGGAUUGCUGAAGCUAUUUGGGAUUGCUGAAGCUCUCACCCUGGCAGAAACAUCUACAGGUAUUUCUUCUUUACCCAUGGGAGAGGCAAAAGUGACUUCAAGGAUAGGGGAAAAUGCCACCCUUUAUUUUAGGGCAGACUUCCAGUUAUCAAAUCUCAGUGUUACCUGGUAUCGCCUCAGCCAGCAUGGACCAAACACCGUGGUGUAUAGUUAUCAUUUUGAAGCUGAGCAGAUAGAGGACCAGACUACGGAAUUCCAGAAGCGUGUCUCCCACUCCAUCAAGCCAGGGGAGGUGAUGCUGACUUUGAAGGAUGUGAGACUGCAAGACAGUGGGACAUACAAAUGUAUCGUGGAGGAUAGCCAACAUUCAGUACAGGGAUAUGUGAUUCUCCAGGUGACAGCCCCAAAAGAAACUUUACACGAGGAUGAGGACUCAGUGGUGAUUUAUUCAGUGUUGGGGCUCUUCCUUGCAGGCCUGAUGGUGUGGAUGAUUUCCUUCAGCAUUUUAUAUAAAUGGGGAGACCAGGAGCACCCCCAGGAACUAGGAAAUAUGACAUGA